GAUCCCUCGUGAUCUGUGAUUGCAGACGCACGAGAUCGCCGCAGCCGCUGCUCCUCCUCUCCCGGGACGCAGCCGCCACCGCCAAACCAGAGAGACGCCAGCGACCGUCGCUACCGUCCCGGAUCACCAGGAAGCCACCGCCGCCGUCGCGCCUCGGAUAUGUCGUGGAUCACUGGGACGUGGCCGUCGCGGAUCAGGAACACCAGGUCACCGCCGGCAGCGGCCCCUCGGAUACCGGCGACCGGCGGCGAUCUGAGACCAACGAGUCGGCACCACACCCCUGGGUGUCCAUGUUGAACGGAGACGCCGAUGGUUGCCCUUCAAGCACCAACAAAUUGGAAAUUCCAAGCCCUGCUGAGAUUACGAACAGAGUGGAAAGGGAAUCAACACCAUCACGCCAAAACAUUGAAGGAACAGGAACGACACAAGCAGCAACUCUCCAAACACAUUAGUUGUUGCUACUGAAGUUUAGAAGAAGUUCAGUGUGAUAUUAUUUCACGAUUCACAAAUGUGUUCAGAGAGUUGUUGCUUGUGUCGUUCCCCUUACUGGAGGAGGGCUCCACUUUGGCCAUUCGCCACUCUGCCUGCAAGCUCGAUGCCACAGUUUGACAGGGCCAAGGUGGUAGUAGCCGAUGACGAAUAUGGCGCCCUGGCUGUCUCUGUUCAUGAGAUUCCCGUAUGGUGGCCGAAUUUGUAUCACACCAGGCUGCUCCCCUCGUAUUGCAUAUCAGAGCUAGCUUAUAUUCAUCCAUAGGUCAUGGCUGGCUCCAAAAGCUUAUGCUACAUGAUAUUAUCAGGAACAGACGCAAUCGACAGUACUACAUUACUGCAGUCUGCACAUGUUGUGUUGAGGGGAGGAGUUGCUAGCAGUGGCGGAGCUACGCAGCCAAAGCUGGGCGGGCCGGCAUGAAGAAAGAUCACUAUUUUUUGUUCUCAUGAUCCAGUUUACUUUAAUCCUACACUGUAUUUGCUGUGGGAUGGUGGGCCAUGGCCAUUUUCGUAAUGCUUAGCUCUGCCAGUGGUUGCUAGCAUGCCAUAAUAUCGUGCUUCCCUUCUCUAUAAUCAUGCUCGUUUCAUGCAUUGCUUCACAUCACCAAAUUAUUGGUUCGACUGAGGUAUCAGGUAUGCAACUUUUAGACAAUGGAAGGCCUGUAUCUAAAGUUCUAAAGAAACACAUUAUGUGAGUUAACUAUGUAUUUGAUGAAUUUUCGUGUAAGCUUGGUAGUUCAGAAAAAUAUUUUGUUUCUUAUAUCAUGUGGUCAACACAAUGGAGAAACAGAAGAGAACAUUUAUCGUUUAGUUUAGUAAUAUCAUCUUUUAGGUUUUGUAAUUUUAUGUGUGUAGAAUGUUCCUAUAUUAAAUUUAUCAUUUUCAUAAAUAUACUAUGACUCUAAAUGUAGUUAAAGUUAUAGGUUUUCUUGGCCUAAUUCCAUCGCAUCAUUAACUGUUUGGUGUAUCCGCAGAAGCAUAAGGAUAAUUUUCCAAUAAAUCACUAGGCAUGUACUUCCAGGAAUUUGCAGGGAAUUUUACAUGAUUUUCGGCACAAAUCUGAAUUUGUCCAGAUCCCGACUCCUCAUGUCCUUCACACUCCUUGGAUUCACUGGAGUCUGGACACCGGAGGUGUGCAAAAGCCCCGGUGUCAGUUUGUUCAAAGAUGGAGUCAGAAGGAAGACCCUGUUUUCAAAUCUUAGCUCCGCCACUGAUAGGUGGGGUGCCGGCCGAGGAGGCAACAUCCACUUCUUCUGUGGACAAGGCCGGAGAUCCCGAGAGCAUCAGCAGAAUAGGAGGAGGAGGCAUAGGAGGCUGAGAGGGGUGACAUGGAGCAUGAGAUGGUGCCCUCGCUGCAAGAGAGGGAGCCCUGCCAAUAGUUGUUGUGGGCUUGUGGCACUGGCCACACGCAGCGCAUCACCAACCAUGAUCGUCCAGGCUGUGGCAUGGGGGUCGUGCUUGCUGCUGGUCCAAAGAUUCCCCCACCCUGAUGAUAAGGCCUCAUCCAUUCAAUUUUGACUCUGUAGACCACUAGCUUUUGGUAAGUGCAGCAUGCUCAAGUUUACUUUAUAGCUAUUUUCGUGUUCUGUAAUUCGGUGGUACAAGGUUGUGUGCACAAUACUGGUUUGCUGAAUCUUGGCCUAGAGGUGCUCUCAUUUUAGGCCAAAUACAGCUUAUUCUGAAAGCAUUGCAUCUUUUGGGGAAAUGCUCAUAGGUGGUUUUACUAUGACAGUAUGACCAUGCUUGUAAUGUCGGCUUGUCUUGCUAGGUGGGCUAAUUCAGUAGGCUUAUUCAAUGGCGAAUAGGUCCAUGUAUUAGGUGGGAUGAACAAGUGUUGGUUUGCAGCUGCUAUGUAUAUUUUUAUGGAUCAGAGGCAGUUAAUCUGUCAUUUGCCCCCUUUUGUUAAUUCAAGGCCUUAAGAUUAUGCUCUUAAAUGCAUACACAUGACUUACUUCCAGAUUUAAGAAGUGUGCAUUUUAAAAUGAACUUUAGAGCUGAUGUUGAUCAUAACCAGUACGUGUACAUAGCGGUGCAAAGGAUUUCUUGUUUUCUUCGUAUUGCAUACCAGUUGUUCAAUAUUUGUAUUUGUAGCAUAUUGCGGACUUGUAGUGAAGUAGUGCCUUCUAUGCACCAGAUGUUACUUAUUUUUAGAUAAGAUUUUCUUAAAAUGAAAAAUACUAAAAUGCACAUGUUGCUAAUAAUUUAUUGGUAUUCGAUGACUUCCUUAUCCAUAUUGUGAUUAGUUAUACUAUUUCUUACAGGUUAGAAGGUAUAGAUAAAUAAAUUUGAUUAUAUAUGGGAUAGAGACUAGAAAAAUAUAAGGCGUCAUAUGCAAGUUUUCUAAAAAAUCUUAGGAAUGCAUUGACUUCGGCCUCACACGGGGCAAGACAUGAACCUGAUGCCUGAUAGUUAUCGUCGCUGCACCUUUGCAACUGCUUCUGUUUUCUUGUAAUAUCCUACAUCGAAUGAGAGUUGUUACCAUGCACAUGUUGGUGAUGCAGGUUACAAUGCUACCACAAAGCAUGGUUAAGCCAUGGGUCACUUAUUGAUAAAUGAAGUUGAAGUCAAUUUUUGUGCAAAAUGAAAUAUAUAUUCUUCGAUUAAUGAUUUAGUAGAUAUUGAUUUAAACUGCUUAUAUUGAUUUUUGUGUUCAGGUUGAGAUAACUAGGGUAAUUUUCUAGCCAUACAAGUAAGAUAAUAUGCCUUGAGUAUUCAAACCAGGUAAUCAAUUUUUGCAACUUGAUAUUUGAUUCUUGCAAGGAAUAUUGUUGUUUGCCUGAUUAACGAGAUACUCAAGUCACUUUACAAAAAUGGUACGUCUUUGGAGGCCUUCAUAGGGAAAACUGCUGGCGUUGGCAUCGCUGUUGUCAGUUAUAAACGAAAUGAUCUUUAGCGUGAUGGAAAGUUAUCAGCUCUCGUGGUGAUCACUGAUGAUCUUUAGCAUUGCAUAGUGAGUAUGAGAUUGGACCUCCGUCUUUGGUACAAAUUUGGUUCCCGUCCGCCUAAGUAGUAGUAGAGGGAUCAUAUAAUGCUUAUUUGCAUUGUGCUUUCCCUUCUUUGGUGGAAAUUAAUUUCAUUUCCAUUACCAAAUUUGUACAGAAAAUGUAGAAUGCUAAUGGCAUAAUUACUUUUUCCUCCAGAGCAGAGUUUCUAAGCAAACAAAAAUGGCCACUUGUCCUGCAUAGUGCAUGCAGAGGAGAAAAGUAUGUGCUACCAUAUCCUGAUUGUCAAGAGUAAAUGUGUGUAUGGUUUUCACUUAAGGCAUUGUUCUGAAGUGUCUUUGCAACUUCAGAUUGUGAUUUUAGUGUUACUAUUUCUUACAUGUUAGAAGGUGCACAUUAUCUUUCUCAUCCCAUCUUUGCACAUUAGUUAUUAUCUAUAAUCAGAGAGUAAGAAAUGAAAUAUUUAUUUAUUUUUAGCAUCAAAAUGUUAAAUAUGCAUGACAUCAGAUCCAAUGCACAUAUCUAAAUUAAGACAAAUUUGUUUGAUCAGUGGAGAAUUGCAUACCUUUUUUUUAUUCUGUGCCAACACACGGGUAUUUAUCUAGGCGGAUAUAGACAAUGUGUUAUUUAAUGCAUUGUUAUUUAGUUGGCUAUAGUUGGCCGGUACUAAGUUCUAAAAAGCACCCUCCUCCAAGAGCCAAAUUUCUGUAAAAUUUAGAGUGAAUAAAUCUUUGUUCUAUAUGCAUGCAAUUUUUGGCAGCAUCUUUUAGUUUCUUUUACCGGGAGUGUUAGUUUCUUUUAGAAUUUAGAAAUGGUUGUUCAUGUGUUCCUUCUCACCAGAUCGGAGUUGAUUGGUUUGUUUGUUCCUUUUUAUCAGUCAUCUACCAUGUAAUGUUCUAUGUGAGUUUUUGUUUUAGUCCAAGGAUAUAUUUUCUCUCAUGUGCUUUAAUCAUAUGCACACAUGGUUGCGCAUUGGAGUGUGGGUGCAAUAUUAAAACCAGUCGAUCAUUCCUUUGUUUGUUCCUUUCUAUCAGUCAUAUACCAUGGAAUGUUCUAUAUGAGUUUUUGUUUUUGUCCAAGGAUAUAUUUUCUCUCAUGUGCUUUAAUCAUAUGCGCACAUGGUUGCGCAUUGGAGUGUGGGUGCAAUAUUAAAACCAGUCGAUCAUUCCUUUGUUUGUUCCUUUUUAUCAGUCAUCUACCAUGGAAUGUUCCAUAUGAGUUUUGGUUUAGUCCAAGGAUAUAUUUUCUCUCAUGUGCUUUAAUCAUAUGCGCACAUGGUUGCGCAUUGGAGUGUGGGUGCAAUAUUAAAACCAGUCGAUCAUUCCUUUUUAUGAUGAAUUUAAUAAAUUUUAUUUUGAAUGUAGUCUUAAGACAUCUAUUGUAUUUUUAGACUAAAAUUUUGAAUUGUAGGGUCUAUGUCAGUGAUGUGAAGCUUACCUGUUCUAUGAUGUUUUAACAACAGGCCAUCCAUGGUUGCUUGACAGGAAACAGAGAAGUAGCAGGAUGGGUAUAAUCAACUCAGCUGUUGGUUGCAUUGGGAGGUGGCAUGAACAAAGUAAAGGGGAAGAAAGCGAGCUUGGACACUAGGUGGUGGCACCAACCUGCAACUGUUUUGUUUCGGUCAAAGCAGGGGAGGGGUCAGGCAUGAACCAAACAGCUAUGGCUUAUUGCUUUGAGUCUUGCCGCACUAGGCAAGGUUAGAUCUUGUAAUGUCAUUUUCACGAUGCAAUGAUCAAGCUCUAAGAAAUUCUUGCGUACAUGUCUUUCAGUACUAUUUUUUCCCAUGGUUCAUCUGUGUAUGUCAUUUCCGUGAUGCGGUGAUUUUAAUAAUCUUGCUUAAAAUCGUUACUUAUUAGUUGUAACCAUUGUGGUCAAAUAAAGUUGGAAGCUUAAUCUUCAA